ensembl:ncRNA K08H10.16 ncRNA
UGUCCGACGACCUCGAUCACAGCUCAUAUGAUAAAAAAUGUGGAUUCAGGAAAAUUCUACCCCCAAUCUGAAGGCCUUCACGUGCCCGCCCCUUGUCAACAGGCGAGAAGGGGGGUUUCCCACAAGAGACAACUUAGAGACGCAGACAUCUAAGUGAGACGGUGUCAACAAAAACAUGAUCAU